UUAAUUGAAGCCAAAUUUUAGGCACUUUUUUGUUAAUAAAGUUAAUGAAUUUUUUUCCAAUUAAA
rnacentral:tRNA from 1 species